rnacentral:rRNA from 1 species
GAUGAACGCUGGCGGCGUGCCUAACACAUGCAAGUCGAACGGGAACCCUUGGAUUCGUCUGGGGGGGAGAGUGGCAAACGGGUGAGUAAUACGUAGGUGACCUGCCCCAAAGAGGGGAAUAAUUGCUGGAAACGGUGGCUAAUACCCCAUGUGCUCGGUGGUUCGUUCUACCGAGUAAAGUUCCGGCGCUUUGGGAGGGGCCUGCGGCCCAUCAGGUAGUUGGUAGGGUAACGGCCUACCAAGCCAAUGACGGGUAGGGGGCGUGAGAGCGUGACCCCCCACACUGGCACUGAGAUACGGGCCAGACUCCUACGGGAGGCAGCAGUGAGGAAUAUUGCCCAAUGGACGCAAGUCUGAGGCAGCAACGCCGCGUGCGCGAUGAAGGCCUUCGGGUCGUAAAGCGCUUUUCUGGGGGAAGAGGAAGGACGGUACCUCAGGAAUAAGUCACGGCUAACUACGUGCCAGCAGCCGCGGUAAUACGUAGGUGGCAAGCGUUAUCCGGAUUUACUGGGCGUAAAGCGCGUGCAGGCGGUUUCGUAAGUCGGAUGUGAAAGCUCCUGGCUUAACUGGGAGAGUGCAUUCGAUACUGCGAGGCUUGAGGUCGGGAGAGGGACGUGGAAUUUCCCGGUGUAGUGGUGGAACGCGUAGAUAUCGGGAGGAACACCAGUGGCGAAGGCGGCGUCCUGGCCCGUACCUGACGCUUGAGACGCGAAAGCGUGGGUAGCGAACGGGAUUGGAUACCCUGGUAGUC